UUCGACAACUCUGGAAAGUGGUGGGAGCACCCACCCGCCCAAGGGGAAAGGUGCCGGUGCGCGCAUGUCAGCGCGCCGUGUUCUACCGAAUCUCUCAGGCGCACGCGUCAGCGAGCACACGACAGAGGGGGAGGA
rnacentral:ncRNA from 1 species